rnacentral:ncRNA from 1 species
UUGAGCCGUAUGCGUUGAAAGACGCACGUACGGUUCUAAGGGGGGGAAAAUCUGAGAAGAUCUACCUAUCCCAAC